UACGUAGGGUGCGAGCGUUGUCCGGAAUUAUUGGGCGUAAAGAGCUUUGUAGGCGGUUUGUCGCGUCUGCUGUGAAAUCUCAAGGCUCAACCUUGAGCUUGCAGUGGGUACGGGCAGACUAGAGUGUGGUAGGGGAGACUGGAAUUCCUGGUGUAGCGGUGAAAUGCGCAGAUAUCAGGAGGAACACCGAUGGCGAAGGCGGGUCUCUGGGCAACAA
rnacentral:rRNA from 1 species